rnacentral:rRNA from 1 species
CGGUAAUACCUGCGCCCCGAGUGGCGGGCACUAUUAUUGGGUCUAAAGCGGCCGUAGCCGGGCGGGUAAGCCCCCGGUUAAAUCCAGCCGCUCAACGGCUGGACUGCCGGGGGGUACUGCCCGCCUUGGGACCAGGAGAGGCGGGGGGUACUACCGGGGUAGGGGUGAAAUCCUUUAAUCCCGGUGGGACCGCCAGUGGCGAAGGCGCCCCGCCAGAACGGGUCCGACGGUGAGGGCCGAAGGCCAGGGGAGCGAACCGGAUUAGAUACCCGGGUAGUCCUGGCUGUAAACGCUGCGGACUAGGUGUUGGGACCCCUUCGAGGGGUCCCAGUGCCGAAGUGAAGACGUUAAGUCCGCCACCUGGGGAGUACGCCCGCAAGGGUGAAACUUAAAGGAAUUGACGGGGGAGCACACAAGGGGUGAAGCCUGCGGUUCAAUUGGAUUCAACGCCGGAAAUCUUACCGGGGGCGACGGCAGGAUGAAGGCCAGUCUGAAGGGCUUGCCGGACGAGCCGAGAGGUGGUGCAUGGCCACCGUCAGCUCGUACCGUGAGGCGUCCUGUUAAGUCAGGUAACGAGCGAGACCCGCGCCCGCAGUUGCCAGCGGGCCCCGACUCCCGUAUGGGGGAAGGGGUGUCCGGGCACUCUGCGGGGACCGCCGGCGCUAAGCCGGAGGAAGGGGCGGGCGACGGUAGGUCAGUAUGCCCCGAAUCCCCCGAGCUACACGCGGGCUGCAAUGGCCGGGACAAUGGGUUCCGACCCCGAAAGGGGGAGGUAAUCCCGAAACCCGGCCUUAGUUGGAAUUGCGGGCUGAAACUCGCCCGCAUGAACGCGGAAUCCCUAGUAAUCGCGGGUCACUAUCCCGCGGUGAAUACGUCCCU